AGUGAACGCUGGCGGUAGGCCUAACACAUGCAAGUCGAACGGCAGCACAGUAAGAGCUUGCUCUUACGUGUGUCGAGUGGCGGACGGGUGAGGAAUACAUCGGAAUCUACUUUUUCGUGGGGGAUAACGUAGGGAAACUUACGCUAAUACCGCAUACGACCUACGUGUGAAAGCAGGGGAUCUUCGGACCUUGCGCGAUUGAAUGAGCCGAUGUCGGAUUAGCUAGUUGGCGGGGUAAAGGCCCACCAAGGCGACGAUCCGUAGCUGGUCUGAGGGGAUGGUCAACGACACUGGAAGUGAGGAACGGUCCAGACGCCUACGGGGGGCAGCAGUGGGGAAUAUUAGACAAUGGGGGCAAGACUGAUCCAGCCAUAACGCGUGGGUGAAGAAGGCCUUCGGGUUGUAGAGCACUUUUGUUGGGAGAGAAAAGCAGCAGGUUAAUACGCCGCUGUUCUGACGGUACCCGGAGAAUAAGCACCGGCUAACUUCGUG
rnacentral:rRNA from 1 species